rnacentral:lncRNA from 1 species
CAUUGUUCAAUACUGCAUGCCCCAAAUAGUUUCAAUUAACUGUUCUUCUUUUCCUUUUCUUUUCUUUUUUUUUUCCUGGCAAUAUCUGCAGCUAUCUGCAUUGCUUUUAGGGAGUUAUUACUUCAUAGAUUUACAGAUGUUGGAACCCCAUCCCCCUUUGUUCCCACAAAGCACGUCACAGCAGAAAAUGCCAUGUCUGUGUGAAAUGGAGUGUCAGCAACAGCAGGGAAACCCCAUUCUUGUCGGAGCUGUUCAAGCAUCCCUUGCCUGCAAACUUGUAUCUAUGGGCUGACUCAAGCAAGGAUGCAUUUGCUUUGUCAGGCAGCUUGUUGAUAGAAGGGGAACUUGUGCUGAGAACUUGUUCGGGUUGACCUGACUCUGGCCAAGCAUCACCCUUUUUAAGACUCUGAGGAUGGGAUGCCACUGCUGUUGGCCGUGAACCAGCACGGUGAUGCGAU